GAGUUUGAUCUUGGCUCAGGACGAACGCUGGCGGCGUGCUUAACACAUGCAAGUCGAGCGGUAAGGCCCCUUCGGGGGUACACGAGCGGCGAACGGGUGAGUAACACGUGAGCAAUCUGCCCUUCACACGGGGAUAACUCCGGGAAACCGAAGCUAAUACCCGAUACGACCACUGGCCGCAUGGCCUGGUGGUGGAAAGUUCCGGCGGUGGAGGAUGAGCUCGCGGCCUAUCAGCUUGUUGGUGGGGUAGUGGCCUACCAAGGCAACGACGGGUAGCCGGCCUGAGAGGGUGACCGGCCACACUGGGACUGAGACACGGCCCAGACUCCUACGGGA
rnacentral:rRNA from 1 species